GUUGACCUCGGAUCAGGUAGAC
rnacentral:rRNA from 1 species